AUGUCAAGUGACGAAAGUUAUGAAGUAACCUUCGAAAUGACAGCAGACUUUGCCUCUGGCUCUGCUGAGAUGAGUGGGACAUCUAGUGAUGAGACUGACGAAGAUGAAGGGAGAAGUCCAAGGAAGGCGAGGCGGCGGUCACGAGCAUGGGACACCUUGAAGACAGUUGAAGUGGUAGAAGAGACGUUGAUGCUGGAAGAUAGGAAGAACCCAGAAGCAGCCCAGGAAGAGAGCAGUGACAGUUUCAUACCCAUGUCUCUGUGGAUAGCGGAGAAAAGUGAAGCUUUGGAUGCUGCAGAUGCGCCGGCACCAGAGCCAUUUGUCUCGGAGACUGACCAAUGGGGGUUUAAAUCUGCCACCGAUGCUGCUGGUCCCCACCCCACCUCGUCAGCCGUCCCCGCGUGGAUGCAGCAGGAGGAGUCCAAAGAAAGCGAGGCAGCAGUCACCAGCUCAGAAGAACAUGAAGAUGCCUCAGUGGAGAAAGAGACAUUGCUGCUUUCUUCUUCCCUUCUUCCAGCAGAAGCAGCACAGGAAGGGAACACUCAAGGUUUGAUACCUGUGGCUGCGUGGAUCGUGGUAUUUGCCAUCUCUGUGUUUGUCAUCUUCGUGCCUGUAGUUAAUGGAUGGUAAUCCAACCAGUCUGCUCAUAAACCUCAUCCUGGGAAGAAAAUAAAAACAGUGUCCUCAUGAUAUAAGCCGUGUUG
rnacentral:lncRNA from 1 species